UCAUUGAUUACGCGAGAAAGAGGGAAAAUUCCGGUCGUGCGUGCCUGGAAAGGUAGCGUAGGCGUGGCAACGCGUCGGCGUCUCGGCGCCUUAUUCGUUGAAAACUUUGCGCAAAAGCACCGCCCCGGCCGCGCGAGCGCGGUGUUCUCGGCACGUGUGCGUGAAGCCCAGCUGGGCUUUCGGAGGACCCGGCACGCCGGUGUAACGUUGCGGCCGGCGUGUACGUGUGCGAGAGGAAAGAAGAACGGGGAGGAUGCCAAGCGGUUUCCCCGCCGCCGCCGCCGCCACCUUCCCGCGAGCCCUCCGUUCCACUCGUCGACGGCGACGGCGCCAUCAUUCCCCGCCAAUUUUUUUCAAAUGCUAGCUCCCUCUGCUCGGUCGACGCCGGAACUGCCGUUCCUCUUUCUCUCUUCUGCCACCGUUCGUUCCUCUUUCCGAUACGCUUUCUCUCCUCCACCGUUUUACUACCCCCUCACUGUCCCUCCUUCGCUGUCCCCCGCUGUCCUCCUCUACCCCUGUCUCUCUAUGCCCUUCCAUCGCGCUUGUUCGGUUUCGUUCGCGCUUGUCCCUUUUCCGUCCUCGUUCUGGCGAUCCCUCUUUUGCUUCCUCUUGCUCUUCGUGCUCGAAGAACAGCCGUGUGGAAGGGCGCGCCGCGAAAAGGGACGGCAAGGACGAGAGCAAUAAAGAGGAGGAGAUUCUCGAGCGCGGCGAUAAGCGUCGAGGGGUCUCCGUCUCUUCGUUUCUCCGUUGUGGGACGCGAGGGUCGAUUUCCGGUGGUGGGAAUUUUUCUCGACGUGGAGGCGACGAACACUAGCGCUCACCCUCGGCCCCCCUCUCCUCCCCCCUCUCGUCUCUAUCUUCGUUCGCUUUUCCUUUUGCAGCGCUGCAAUCGACGACUCUAUUACUUCCGCGAAAGGGAGAGAAAAUGCAGCAAACGGAGGAAGACCGGGAGAAUGGCCGGGGGCUGUUUGACACACGGCGGAGAGGUUGGUGGUAGGGGAGAGUAGAUGCAAGGCGAUCGCGCAGCUGGUAACGCAGACAGAGCCUUCGUCCUUUUCUUCGUUAAGGGCAACUUGUGUUGCGCGUACCUGUUUAGCAAUUCUCGAAAUGCGACCGGUGCGAUUUAUACGAGAGACAUCGCGUAUAAUACAAUGGUACAUCCCCGACUAUACAUGACGAGAAGCUACAUUUAUAUCGCGUUACAAGCACACCGGCUGAUAUAUGUUAUUCCGAUAGAAUUUCAGCUGGUAACUAACUAUUGUUUUCCGCAUUCUCUCGAAAUAAUCUUUUUCUGUGAUAUUAGUUGCGUUGUAUGGCUUAUAUCUAUAGCCAGGUACAUGAGAAUGACAUGGAGAACUCAGGUUGCAUUUGGUAAUUAUUUAAUACUUACGUACGUUGGCAUAAAUAUUUUUAUCGAUAUUUUCACGCAUACACAUCUAGAUCUCUAGAUACAUUAUUAUUCAAAGACAUUAAACAGUUACGAAAAAAUUUGUUAUUUUUUUUCUGAUAUAAAAUUAAUUAAGAUUAUCAUAGAAUAGACAAAGAUGACGAUUUGUUACUGCAGCUACAAUACAUAUAAAUAUGUAAAUUUCAUUUAAGUAUGUAAAAAAAAAUUAAAAUUUGUACAUAGUCAUAGCCAUGAGAUGUUUUACAUUUGUUAAAAUAAUCCUGAGAAUUACAGUGUGUGCCACCAAAAAGGUCGUUUUACAUAUAGUCAAUGUUGGCGUCAAACGGUCCAACUAGUAGAGCGAUCCUAAGACAUUCAUUGUGGGAAACCGGAACGACGAGCAUCCACGGUGGCAUUCCUUGACGGCGGCGGCCGAUCGCGGCGCGCACGUGUCUCGAAUCGCGGAGAACGCGUGCGCGUAUUGACACGCGCUGAUCGAACGCAGUGACGCGCGGGCCUCGUCACGAGGGCGAACCAAUACCGGCGUGAUCCAGGCCGGUAUCUACCACGACCACGUGCGCGACCCCCGAAGUAGGCAUUCACGUACGAAGAUUUGACGUGCCUUUUUCGCCGGUAUCUCUCGACAAAAUGGCGAGCGUCGGGAGAUCACGUGCCGUCGGAUGGGAGUUGCGUCGAUGAAGACGGUUCCUUGCGGUUUCCGGCUUUGGAGGAUCUCGCUGACCUCGCGCACGAGUAUCGAAGUCUCCAAGCAGCCCCUUAAGAGAGAACGACCAACGCGCCACGCAGCGGAGGGUGCUGGUCGCAUUCCUUCCCCAAUCGGCAAGAAGGCAUAUACCUCCCCUAAUGAAGCCUGAUUUUCUUGAUAACCACGGAUGGCGGACAGACGAUCCCAACAGAGAGAGAGAGAGAGAGAGAGAGAGAGAGAGAGAGAGAGAGAGAGAGAGAGAGAGAGAGACACCGGUGAAACGUCGUUUCGUUCGCGGCCGGUGAAACGACGUUUCCGGUUUUCGGGCGUUGUUCCGGUUGAAUUUGGAAAGAGGACUGUACGAUGGGGGAUGGUACGCAACUUUACAACACGGACAGACACGUAUAGGCAUGACGGGGUGCUGCCCUCUGCAGGCUAAAAUUAGAGGGUUGCUGUCCGAAGUUCUCCGCUACACGUUUGCAUUUCCUAUGCACUAUUUCCCACGUGUAGGUGCGUACAGUCCUGCGCGAAACUCGGGCUCGCUGCCGCCUCCGCCGCGCCAGCCGAUGCGCGUGUACAGAAUUUAUCAGCUUAUCGCCGAUUGAUUUAUUGCGCGCAAGGAGAGCAAAAAAAUGCGCCGAAUCCAUGAAUGAAACUGUUUUCGCCGGUCCCGCCACGCACGUUUGCACGCGCGCGCGCGCGUACGUAACUUUUUAUUCGACGUUAUAUUUUAUGAAAGCGACUUGUUAACGCGUGCAACUUCUGGCGAGUGUUUUUUUCUCGACCGAUCUGCGCCUUUUUGUUAUCAUUUCAACGUAACUUUGCGAUGCACUCUGACUGCCAUUCGAAGAUUUUAAGACACGACAUAUAAAUGUCUAACAUAUAUUGCAGAGGAGACUUUUAAUUAAUCUGAACACUAAUUCUGUCAGAUUUAUUAAGUAUAUCAUUAAUAUUAUAUAAAUAAAGCAGUUGGAUGCAAUAUUCAAGGAAGACUUACAUAAUAUUUUACAGAUAGAUCUGUUCCACUUAUUAUGCUACUUUUUCUAUUAAUUAUAGUAUUAUCGCGAUUAAUUAAAACAAUACACUGUUAAAUAUUAAAGGAUCGCAGUAACACAAAUUUUCUGAAUAAGUGGCGUCGAUGUCAACGGUAUGUACCUAUUAAAUAGCAAACUAAAUUUAAAUCAAAUUUAAUAUUAUAUACUUUCUUGAGUUUAACUCCAUUUUUUAAAUUAACUUAAUGGCAUGUUAAGUAGGAGCACUGGUGACCUAUAAAAAUGAUUAAAAAUGACUCAAAAUUGGAUAUUCGACAUUAAAAAUUUAACAAUAUAUUAAGAUAGGAUGUGAUUUAAAAUUAUUAAAUCGAUCAUCAGGAUAUUUUUGUUUAUCUCUCUUUCUCUCUCUGUCUCUCUCCCUAUAUUUCCUUUAUUUUCAGUCUUCCUAUAUAGCUGCCUCGAAGACAACCUUGCGGUCGUUAAUUAUUUAAGGAGACCUUUAAUGAAGAUAAUGCCAUUUUUUCGAAAUGAUGACGAAGCCAAUCUCGAGGAACCAAUCUCGCAAUCAUUAGAGGAUUUUCGCGGAGGACUGUACUCGCGUACCCUCUCCAGAGGCAUUAGACGCAGUGUAUCGGCGGCCGUGCUCGUGCGCGAGUAUUAGACACCAUGCCCGCAGCUCAUUUGCCAACUCCGGCAAAUUUACCAAAUUUAAAUGCAAAAUCGGCCGGUGCUCCGCCGGUUCGAUGGAGGUGCAAGCGAGACGGCGCGCGCGGGGUGGCGUGCGGGCGAGACGAGGAACGGGAAGGCGAACAGAGGAUACGAGAGACAGAAAGAUAGAUAUAGGAACGAGGAGAGUGUACGAGCGAGCGAGAAAGGGGUGCGCGGCGGCAGGGUGCGCGGGGUAGAGGGUAGGUGAAAGCGCACGGAAGAGACGAAGAGGGAAACGAAAAGCUCGAGCGAGAACGGAAUAUAUAGAUAGAUAGAAGCACGAUAGUGGAGAGCCAGGGAGAGCGAGAGAGGGUGGACAGGAAAGAGGGACGGAGACAGAGACCGUGGUAGGAAACUCAAAUGGUCGCAAUGGUGCGGUAUAGUAGUCAGGCUGGUUGUCAGGCGCAGCAUGCGAUUGGUUCGCCGACCGUGUGUUACCUCUGUCUCUCUCGCUUUCUCUCUCCGCUUUACGUGUCUAUUCCGCUAUUCGUCCGUCUUUCUUUCGCCGCUUCGUAUUCGCCACACCGACCUUCUCGUUUCCACUCGCGCGCACCCUGCGCUUCGUUGCUGUCACGCGAGGGUUGCCGCCGUGAAUCUCGAGACGGAGGGAUCUGACAUCUUUGACAGUCCGGCGAAGAAAAGUUUCGCAAGAGAGAUGGGCCGAGAGAGAGAGAGAGAGAGAGAGAGAGAGAGAGAGAGAAAGCGAAAGAAGAGGGUCGUGAAAGAAUCCUUCCUCUUUUUUUAUCUAGAAAGUUUAAUUAAAAGUCUUUUACUUACUAAAAUAGGUCGAAACGAAUAAAUUACUAAAAAUAAAAGAAAAACCGAUUAAAAAUCAAAUAUUUUACUAUAAUGUAGAGCCACAAUUUUUGAAAAGUCUUUCAGAAUUCUAUUUCAUGUACAAUAUAAGCAAUCUAAUACUGAUCUAAAAAAAUAGAAAAGCUCGCGCAAUAAUGACCGCUUGAUAAUUCUAGUCUUAAGUAAUUUGAUGCUAUAAUACAUGUUAUCACGUCGCGGUAAUUUGCGUUUGUGUACCGCGUUGCAACAAAGUGACUACAGAGACCAUAUGUUUAUUGCGUGUCCUCUUUAUUGAAAUAUUAAAUAAAUGCGCGAUAGAUAUUAAUUCGAUGACUAACUGUUCAAUGAAUACUUUUCGCCUUUUGAAUCUUUCCACUCUAAUAAAUUAAUUGGAGCUGUUUUGAUAGAACGAGGAGGAGGGAUAAUGUGUGGCACCGAGGUAUUUUUCAAUGAUGAGAUAAUUAUUAUCGAUUAUUUAAAAACAGCUGUGAAAACCGAGUGUACCAUUAUCUUUUUAGUGACCCCGUAAUGAAUAUUAAUUUUACGAAUUAACGAAAAAUACAUCUGUAUCACAUUUAUUCUACCGCGGGGCAAUUACCGGGAUUUAUCCUAUACAUUUCAGGUGAAGUAUUUCUUUUUAAGCGUGUCGGAGUAAAACUACAAAAACUGUGUGUAUAUCUGACAUGCAGUUUCUAGUGAACUGCAUAGUGUGUGUGUGUGUGUGUGUAUAAAAACAAGUGUUGCUGGUCGAACGUAGAUUGAGCGCGGCGCGGCAUGCGGCAUUAAUUCCGAGGAGAAGAAGAUACGUUACCGGACGCGUCCGAUUUCGGGCCGAGAUCUAAAUCCCUGGCGGAGAAAACCGGCCUGCACUAAAAUCGUCAAUCAAUGUCUCACGCUCUUGCCGCGCCCCCGUCCCGGCCCGGUUCAACCCUUCGCGCUCGCCGCCCAUCCGCCCACCUAUUCACCCCCCUCCCCCCCCUUCGGAGGUACCGUCGAUCGCUCGUCGUCGCUGGGGCACACACAGCCAAAGGGUUGCCAAUUAUUAUUCGCGGUACACUUCGCACCGUUUUGUUGUUCAUCGGCAGCGCCGUUUAUUAUUCAUCGUUCAUCAUAUUGCGGUGCCCGUUACAACGGUGCAGUUACAACACGACGACGGGCAGAAUACGCCGGGCCGGCGUUGUUUCGCGUAGCGUUACACCGUUACGCCGACGUUACGAAUGGCACAGAGGGCGAAAGCGCGUGCUCGCACGCUCGCCGCUGCUCCCGCGUGUGUACACGCGCGUGUGCGCGUGUCGGUACACCGCGUGUACGCUCGUCAAAAUACAAAGUGAACACGAGUCCGCCAUGGGGACGUUUAUUGUGCACUCGUACGUUGUUUUAUCGGCGUUACAUUACGCGAUAGUUUUCAGUACUCCGCCCCCUCCCGCGCUUCUUUUAAUAAUGCGCAUUACGAUAAUAUCCCUUUGUGGCUGAAGCUCGACGAGCGGGAGGGGCGGCGAAGCGAAAUACCCCACCGCGGUUUUGAUAUUUAUAUGCGUUCGACUCGUCGGACUCGCGAGACACGAGCGGGUGUAAAAUUCGACAGCCAUUGCUGGUUUCUUAUUGCCCGGUGAUAAUUACUUUGUAAUUAAGCUCGGGCGUUCGACGGCUGAUACAGGAACGCAACUUAAUCCAUGCCGGCGAAGAUAUCUAACGCGAUAUCGCAUUUGUUACAUUCCGAUUACGUGCGUCACUAAACAGAGAAGUUAAUUAUAAAUCGGCAGAUCGACUCGCGCAUUUACGCGCGCGUGAAUUUUAAUUAAAACGAAGAAGCGCAAAUAUUUGCGGAAUCUACCUCCCUUUUUUCUCUCGCGACGCUCCCACAUACUAAUUUUCAACAAGAUUCAGGCUGUCGCGCGAACAAAUUUCAACAAAUGUCAACAUUCGCAUUGUUUGUUUUCAGCGCAAAAUAUUUUUCAUAUGUUAAUUCCGCUACUGUACCGCGUAAUAUCGAAAUCAUACAUUUACAGCAUUCAUAUGCUAUGCACUAUCCAAAAUUUAUAUAUAAUUGUUUCCAAGCGCACUAACUUAUUUCGUAUAGGAAAUUAAUAAAUCACCGUUCAUGGCUGAAGAACAAAGAUAUAACGAAAAAGUGCAACAAGUAUCUGAAGCAGGAUAUGCACGUAAUACGAUAUGCAUAAAUAAAUUAUUAUUUUAAAUAUAUUGUACGUAUUUGCCGCUCGUCGCUCGUAUAUGUUUAUACGCGUAUCUUUCUAUUAUCAUUUUAUACCACGCUAUUUAGAAUAAUAAUCAUGCCUGUAUCUAUAAAAUUGUGAAAAGCAGCAACAAUUCUCUGUUACAUAAUUUCAAAGAAUGUCACACUUACGACCAACAUCGCACAUCGCCCACGCAUUACUUUAACUUGUAAUUAUAUGCGCUCGUAAAUGCAAAGUGCGAGUGUUAUAAGGACUCGUAAUUCAAGGAAUGCAUGACGCUCGAAUUUAGAGUCAGUCCCGCCCAGUAAAUUUCGGAGCGCGCGGAAUAAUGAGGACGAAUGUCGCCGGCAUAACUAAAAAGAGAACAAAAUCUUGGACGACCAAACUUUGGUAUUAAUAGAGGAAAUCCGGAAUGCGUCCGACACUGAGGAUAUAUCUCUGUACCCCUCCGUACUCGCCCCUUCUCUCUCUCUCUCUCUCUCUCUCCCCCUCUCUCUCUCUCUCUGUCUCUCUCGUGGUGUAAUUUUAAAUUGCCGCGAAAUUUAUGGAAACCCACUUCCACAUGUUCCUCUCGUUCUCUUUUCAUCUAGUGAUUAUUCUAAGUUCAUAAAAUAACACAAGCAAUGCAAAACUUUCGCUUUUCAGGAUGUCGUUUGCGAAAUACACUAUGCAAAAAGCGCCAUUGAAAAUUUCAGGUAUUAUAGAAUAUAACAAAAUAUAGAAUAUUAUUUUGUACUCGGAAGCGCAUUACUAAAGUGGUUUUUGUCAUUUGUACGUAAAAUUUUUAAACAACAUUGUUGAAUAUAUCUACCGCGAUAUGACUUGAAUUAUUCUUCCUUCCGUUCCUUUUUCUCCUCGUCAUAUCAUUAAUUCUGAUGACGAUAGUAAUAAUUAUUCGUUUAUGUAAAUCAGAAAAUUACACAUCUUGUAUAUUCUAAAUAAAUUCGUCUUCACCCUCCCGAUUUUUUCGCAUCAGCGCGAGCGACUCCAAAAAAUGUCUCGGGUCGUAUUUGCCAAACAAAGUAAUUUAACACGAAUUAACAUAAAUCACUCAAGUUUCGUUCGUGGUUGUUCACUCGCUCGCGCGUUCGUCCGUUCGACUCGACAGUUUGCCAUCCCUCAACCAACCCCCGCCACCACCCAUCAGUGUUACCCUCAUCCGAUUCGAGGCAACGGCCGAUUACAACGUUCCGACAGAAAUUUUCAAUUUUCGAACUUUCCAGUCACGGGUUCUCGUACUUGUUCGAAUAAUUUCCAAUCGACUGAUUCCUUCCGCAAUAUCUUCGUCUUCCGUUUUGCGUCAACAUCGAUGAGUUUACAAUUUUUUGACGUCGGACUGCGACAUGUUGUAAAUGCUCGAUCUGCCAACCGUCAAUGAAGGCGAUCAAGUGUAACAGCGAGAUCGAGGAAGACAGCAGGAGAAAUUUAUGUACUUGAAUUAUUCUCUGUAUAAUAUGCAGAAUUCAUCAAAUAUGUGUUAAUAUAAUAAAUCAUAUUUGAUUUUCAUAAAAAUAAAUAUAUUUAGCGUGAAAAUUGAAGGAUGACAUUAAAUAAUAUCUCAUUAAAUUUUCCACUAAUUCUUUUAGAGUUUUGAUUUUUUUAAUUAUAUUAAUUUAUUAAAAAAUUGUUUUCUUGUAAUAUGAAAAUUUGUAUAUGUAUAACAAAGAACGGUUUUGCUGAAUGUCUAAAUAUUUAGCUAUACAUACAGCUACACAUACAUACUCUGAAAAUAAUUUUGUUAUGCAAUUAAAAUAAUUAUUGCGGAUUCCAAUUGGUUGCUAGAAUGUCAACACUUUUUAUAGUUUUAUAUUUUGUACAUCAUGUUUAAACGUUCUUUUACACAAAAUUGUUUUGAUGGUCCAACAUAAUUAUUUUCAAAUCUGUAUUUAUAAAAAUAAAUUUUCAAAUAUUUCAGUACACACACACACACACACACACACACAUACAAAAUCGUUCUUUCCAUUUAAUAAAGUGAUAAAGAGUUAUUAUUAAUAAAGAUUUUAUAGAAAGGUUCUGACACAGAAACAUCAAGAAAGGAUGAGAAAAAUGAGAAAAGAGGUACUAAAGAUUUGGGGUUGGUGAGGGUGCUCGCUAUUUAUUUUUCUACCCGCACUCACAUCUCCCGGGAAAGCGCGGGUAUGCGGGCGUCAUUAACGCCAACCUUAACCGCUCCCCGCAUGCAUCUCACGUUCUCUUCGAGCUUUAUUAACCAUUUGCGGCGAGCUGACCUCUCGCUAUCCAAUAACUACGCGGCUAGCAAGUCGUUCCUUUUUAUUGUCUCGGAUAAGACCAGGUGUAGCACCUUCAUUUGCAAUGAUGCGCGCGUACGUCCGAUCGAGUUUACGGCCCCCAAGAUGCACUUUGUUCGCGAUCUCGCUACCGCGGUAAAUGCUAUCUCACGGCUGCUCAAAGAGCUUUAUCCGCAAUUUUCGCCACGAUACGAGAAUACAACGUUAGCUUAUUGAACAAGAGACCAUUAUGUUACUCGUCCCUUUUGCGCGCGCGCGUCGUUUCAUGCGGUAAAACGCAAGAAAACUCGAACGAAUAUCUUUUCAUAACGGUUAGAUUCUAGAACUCGGAGACGGUUAGAAGCUUCCGUAGAGAUGAUCUUGUUUGCAGGACCGGUUGGAGGAAGAGCGGUCGCCUUUAACGAAACAAGUUUUUCACCCGUGGACCCCCCAUGUGAGAUUCACGCGUACAGUUUGAGAUAAAUUUAUGUUCUUUCGUAUGCAGAUGACGCAGCAUCACUCUAAUAAUAUAGAACUUGCAAGAUCACCAAUACACAUAAAACGUAAAUUACAUUCUUUCAUACAAUUUUAGCGAAAACUGGGAUAAAUGACGGGGAAUUUUCGAACGUUUUAUUAUAAAUUACUAAUUUUUGAAACAGUAUCUUUGUAAUGUGCGUAUUAUUAUUUCAUUCAGAUUAAAUUUAAACGUAUUUAAAUUAAUAUAUGGUAUGUCUCUCGCAAACCUGAAUAGAUAAAGAAUUCAACGUGUUCGUUAAUCGAUCUAAUGAGAAAUUAAAAUCGGAUCGAUAUGGUAAUCUUCGUUUUCGGUUUCUCUACGUGAAACACAACGUUCUCAACUAUUUCAAGCUGGCGUUAAAGGAGAUAAGUUUUUCUUCCGGUAUAAACGAGCAACCGUCUAUCUCGGAACGAGUUUUGAAAUUGUGGACCACCGCGGACUCGUUUCUUCACAAAGAAACGCAAGGGAUGUCGCAUCUCGCGUAGGGAAAGAACUCGUUUCCUCGCGAGAACGUGGCGCUGGACCGCGAGGGAUGCCACAUUUCGCGGGGAUGCGUUAUAAUGGCAGCCCCCCAAUGGACGAACGGGCGAUCUCCGUUUUUUGGAAGAAACCAGACGAACCGGUGCGGACCCCACCUGGUUCCGGAGGACCCCCAGCCGUUAUUCAGGUUUCCACGCUUGUCCACGGAGUGGACGAAGUGCCUUUGAUAUUCAGAUCUGGCGGCGAUUCACGCGAUCGCAAGGAUCGCGAAUCACCUUUGGCGCUUUUGAGCCCUCAGUGCCGUCGCAGUCGCGCUGUCAAAGAGACGAAACGCGGAGAGUUUUGUUCGUUGGAAAAGAGUGUCGGACUGUCUGUCUACGGACAAAGAAUUCUUCUGAUCAACUGCGAUGAUGAACAGGACAUAGACACUACAUGUGUCAAUCUUCCGUUUCGAUUAAUGUUUCUGGGGUGAGUGUAGACAUCUGUGACAUUACGUUGGAAUUUUUAUUGACGUAAAAUUGGAUUCAUAGAUAUCAUUUGCAAAUUUUUAUCUAUCAACUUGAUAUUUUGUCUGAUAUCAUUAUUAUCCAUCGAAAUACAUGUUGUUAUACGUAUAACAACCGUAACUAGAUAGAAAUUUAAUAAAAAUAAUGAUUUGUUAUUGAUUAUUAAUUAGAAUAUAUUAUAUAACUCUUUAUAUUUAUUUUGCGUUUAUAAUUAUCUGCUAAACGAAUUAUAUUUGUACGGUCAAUACAUACUGUUUUACAAGUUUUUACUUUUUAAUGAAAUCGUAUAUAAUUUGUUACACUCUAGACAUCUGAAUCAAUAUAUUGCUUUCAACAAUAGUAUUAUUUAUUGCUAUUGGAAUUAAUAUAAUAAUAUUUUCCGUUUCUUUGAUUUGAUUUGAUCUUGAUAUUUCCCAAUUGACACAUCCUUAAAGCAAAAAAAAAAUGGAAAUAGCAGUACACGAGUAAAGCGCUUAAAAAGAAAGGGAGACUGGCGUGCUAAUAAAUCGGUAAAUCGCGAGUUAAUUCCGUUACGUCGGGGUGAUUCUGAGCGAUUCGUUCGAAUAAAAAAGGAGCAGGCUCGCGCGCGCAGGCCAGAUGCAGGAAAAAGGAAGAAAAGUGGAUGCUGCCGGGACGCCGGCGAGAGCGGCUUUAAAGUGAUCUCGACGAGUGAGAAAAAAAGAACGCGUUGCGGGAUGAUGGAACGGCGAAAUAAAAAAGAGAAAAGCUCGAAGAAUUCGAUAAACCUUGAAGCAGCCUAAAGAGUUUAAAUUCGGAUGCCGCGUCGUUCGUCAUACACUUUACUUCUUUCCUUCUUUUCUUUUUUUUUUUGUCUUAUUUACUAUUACACAUUCCUGUAGAGCUUCAUCGUCCCGAUAUUUGCAUUGCGCCACACGCAAUAGAUAUUUUAACAUAUGUAAAUCAUCCAGAUAUAAAUAUCCCUGAAAAAUCGAAGUCCUCUCUCUGCGGCACACGUAAAAAGAGAGCGGCUGCCUCAAAUUUGUUUACAAAUUAGCUCCAUCCAUGGAUAUAAAUAUAUGGUGGAAAAAAUAAAUUUCUCUACCCUUGUCCACUUUACGCGAAUUGCGGUGAAACGGUGUUUUUUUUUUUUUUUUUUUAAAGAGCGUUGCUAAUCCCGAAACUGCUGAUCUGGCGAUCAAACAGUAUCGGCUGCCGCUGCUCGCGCGGCGCAUUUUGAAAAUGUAAAAGCAAACUCAAAGCCGGUCGCGCUACGGUGCGAAUUGCAACUAAACUAAAACCGCGUUUCGCCUACCACCCUCCCUCCCCCCCUCGGGCUCACCCCAUACCUCUCGUCCCCGAUUCUCUCUAUUGAGCCUUCAUCUUUCUCUCUCUCUCUCUCUCUCGCUCUCCCUGCCGUUUCCGCAAACCUGCGUACACCAUGCUUCUCUCUCUCUCCCUCCCUCUCUCUCUCUCUUCACUCCCGACUUUCCCGCGGGAGAGCGGUUAAAACAAAUGAGCGGGCAGUGCCGGCCUUAAAUUAGCGCCGGCAGGGGUGGUUUUCACUUCUACCCUUAAAUUAGGACUAAGCCUCGUGCCUCCAAGUUUCACGGUUUUGAUCGGAUGAGUUACCGCCGUUGAAAGUUACAGCGACGGGGAUUAACGUCCGCCUUUCUCGCGCCGAGGAAUACCCGGCUGUUGCGCCGCGUCGGUGAACACUUGGGGGGGAAAAAAAAUGCGAAUCCAUCCUUGCGCGGCAAGUUAAAUGUCGUACCACGCACGGUAUGGCAAAGUUUCUCGCGGAUUGUGGGAUAAAGUAAACGUCUCGAGAAAAAGUAGGAACAACAUCGAAUAAAAUCAUGAUUAUCGAAUUUAAUGAUCUUAUUUAGAAAAUGAGCAAUGUGAAUAAUAGAAACGGACGAAUAAAUAAGAUCACAUGCUAUAUAUAAAUAAUAAAAAAAGAUUUUAAAUUUUAAUUUCUCUUGCAGAAUUUCUGAAAGUUUAUUUCUGCGUUUAUAAAACUUGUGUUUUUUAUAUCGCGAAUUUUAAUGAAUCGUAAAUUCAAUACAAAUAAAAGUACAAAAAUCAGUAGUACACGCAAGAAGUAGUACCACAUUGGGAAAGAUUCGUUUCGUGAACGAACGAAUGUGUCCAUAUCCUGAGAAAUUCUGUCACCCUGCAAUUCGCCGCUGUACGCCCGAUUUCGCGCGGUCGCGGAUCUAAUUGGCUAACCUUCUGUUCCCUAUUCCGCGCUGAAACGUGGCAUGCCGUAUCCGUGGAGGAAAGUUACCCCCUCUGACAUCGAGACCAAUCAACGGCGCGGUACGAACGAACGGAGACAGGAAGUCGGAAAAAGAGCGAGGGAAAGUUAGGCGAGUCAAAGUGGGUGGUGGCGACGCCGGGUGCUGAAAUCAGUCGCAGAACCGCGCCUGGAAUGGAAUCGCGUUUAAUCCAAUAGCGGUCCUUAAUAAUCGAAUAAAGCUAGGUCCGAGAAAUCGCGUCUAAGCAGACUCUGGGAUGAGUUACCCAUCCCGGCGAAAAGGAGGAGGAGGAGGAGGAGGGGGUGGCUUGACGAAGUUGGGUGGUCGAUGCGAGAGAAGGUGGCGGUGGCAUAGGAAAUUCAACCACCCUCUCCCCCUUUUCCAGGAGCUCCCUUGGUGUACGUCGCGCGGCUCGGUCGCGGCCAUGUUGCCAGAAUUGCCACCACCUACCCCCUUUCUCCCUCUUAAUAUCCCACCGCCUAGUCAUCUAGUCCUGCCGGGUCCGCUAUGUAAAUGUGAACCAACCCGACCCUCCUCCUCGUCGACCCCCCAUAUACCUCGCCCCUCUUCUAUCCCUUCGGCUCACCGGGCUCGCCGCCACCCCCCGCGAACUGCCUCCAACUAGCAGCCCCUAAAUCUAAGUCCGCCGGAGCGGUACACUCUGAGUAGAAAACGCUAUGUUUGGUCCGUGGGUUCGUUCUUGAUUGCAGAGAGGAAGAAUGCUCCUUGAUGCUUUUUCUGUGAAAGAACUUUAAAAAAGAGGAAACUAUUUUAUUCUUAUUUUUUUAUUUAUAUACGGGAAAUUGUCUUAAGAUAAACUAAACAUUCGAAGAAAGUUGUGAAAUUAUGAAAAAGGUACUCUACAUUAUUAAGAAUUUUUUAAACAUGCUUUCGGAAUAUUUACUUGACUUUUGCAUUGUGUAACGAAAUCGAAAGCGAGAGUGAUACAAAAGCGUCACAUUUAAAUGCCGCGACAAACAUGCCGGUUACCAUUAUUCUUACAGAUUACUCGAAAAAUAUAAAGAUUCCAGAUGAUUCUAAUAAAUCGCGGAUAAUUAGUAUUAAAUCGAGGAUUAUUUAAGCAAGGGAGCUUCGUACAGCGGAGUAAUGAAAGCAUUACGUAACUCCGGCUCCUCGUAUUUGCCUUCAGGCGGUGUCCGCUGAAAUUCAUCGCGAGAAACGACCUCACGUGCUCUCGCCGGAUAAUAGAAGAACUCCUUCCGCCGCGGCCUUAAUUAAUUGCUUUAAAAUAUCUCGUUUGACUUUUCCCAAGACUCCGCCGUAUCCCGGUACGGUACGUGUACCCCUAUCGUCACCGUGCGUAAUCACCGUUCGUUUCUCAUCCGGCGCUCUCUUGCCGUAAUUUUGUCGGGAAGGGUUGAGUCAUUACGCCCAAAGAACUAACAGGAAUUCCCAGAUUGCUGCGAGGUUGUGCUGCAAACCCCUAACCCUCCUCGUCCUCUUUCUCCUUCUCCUCCUGCUCCUCUUAUCCUCCCGUUCUGGCAGUCCUGUUGGCUAUCCUAACGGUAUAUACUACGGUCUACGGUGUACGGAAGGGCGCCAUUACCCCACGGACAGCAAGUUCUAAGCGCGCUAAAUAAUGGCCGCUAGAAAUUCAACGGGGGGUCGAAAUGCCCGUAUGGCGUUGCGAAUACUAUCACGGCUACCGUGGUACCUAAACAUACGCGCGGGCUCGUAUAUACGUGCGAAUCUACGCCGUUAGUGUCCACCCUCGACCCGUCUACGUGGGAGUGAGUAUUAAUUUAGGCACGUAGUCCUUUCCCCGGCGAGCUAAGAAAAAUGCCUGCACGUUGGGGAGCUGGCCCGUUAGAAUUUAAUCUCACGUCAUAGGAGGGACGGCGUGCUCAUCGACGCGUGCGUGUAGACGCGGCCGCGCGUGUGGUGGUAUGCGCGGUGGUGAUGGUCGACGAAGGUUGGAAGAGCCCGAGAAUACGGGAGGGAAAGGGGGACGUAAGAAAAAUGCGCGGGGGAGUAGGAAAGACCGAGGAGGUGGACGGACGCCUGGGAGACGGAGAGAACCCUCUCACGGGAGGGUGGAACGCAGUAGCGGGGAAAACGUUUCAAAAUCGCUUAUAUCCUGUUCAUCGUAACACUCUCGAGUGGAGGCACGUAGAUGCAA